rnacentral:rRNA from 1 species
GAUGAACGCUGGCGGCGUGCCUAAUACAUGCAAGUCGAGCGAACAGAUGAGGAGCUUGCUCCUCUGACGUUAGCGGCGGACGGGUGAGUAACACGUGGAUAACCUACCUAUAAGACUGGGAUAACUUCGGGAAACCGGAGCUAAUACCGGAUAAUAUAUUGAACCGCAUGGUUCAAUAGUGAAAGACGGUUUUGCUGUCACUUAUAGAUGGAUCCGCGCCGCAUUAGCUAGUUGGUAAGGUAACGGCUUACCAAGGCGACGAUGCGUAGCCGACCUGAGAGGGUGAUCGGCCACACUGGAACUGAGACACGGUCCAGACUCCUACGGGAGGCAGCAGUAGGGAAUCUUCCGCAAUGGGCGAAAGCUUGACGGAGCAACGCCGCGUGAGUGGUGAAGGUCUUCGGAUCGUAAAACUCUGUUAUUAGGGAAGAACAAAUGUGUAAGUAACUAUGCACGUCUUGACGGUACCUAAUCAGAAAGCCACGGCUAACUACGUG